UUUCACCAGUUUCUCUGCACGAAUACCGGGAGAAACCGAGCGGUGUUCUUCGUGUUCUUCAUAAUCAAACGAAGAUUUGAAGGCGUUAUUGGAAUCCGAUGGAGGCGUAUGAAUAGUCAAAACGAAGCUCUCGACGCGUAGAAUAUAGAUUAAUCGACCAUAACAGUGCAGAUGUAUCAGGAUUUGGACGAGACGUGUACGCUCGAAGACGUCAGGAAGUCGAAAUGGUAUUGCAAGGCGAAUAAGGGAUGAAUCGAGUAAGCGAAGCGAUGUGGCGAAUAGAGUACGGCUAGAGAUGGUCUAGAAAUUAUGAUAUGGAUAGAUUGUGAAAGUGGAAAGAUGAGAUAGAGAUGUGAGACUGGAGUCAGAUUUAAGAAAGGAUUAAAGAUGAAUGGCUAGUCUAUGAUUGCGAGUAAAGCUAAGGCUAGGCGAGGAGUGUUCAGGAAAGUUGAUGAGGUUGGUGCAAGCUAGAGCUGUGCUACAGAGAUUCAAGUGCAAGUCAUAGCUGGAAUAGUUGACAGUGAUUCUUCUUAUCGAAGAUGAUCUGAUUUGGUAAGAGAUGUUGUGUAAUAAUAGUGGUAGAUUCUAAUUUCAAUACUGUAACCUGGAUGCGAUCCUGUUGUUUUAGGGGGUACAAAUGUUCUCUUUCGAAUCUUUUAUUAUGGCUUUCAAGUUUUGAAAUUCAGGUUUUGAAAUCAUUUGAUUAAUAUUCUCUUUCAGAUCUUUUAAUAAAUCUUUUUGUUUUCAAAUUAUUUGAAUUUCCAUUAUCAAAAAAAAAAAUAUACAGGUUUCCAAAGUGUUUUAAAAAGGUUUUUGUGUGGUGACGUCAGGAUCCAGACCCCCGGAUUCUCGGACUGUCACACCAAGGACUUGGUAUGACACCCUCUCUGAGUUUUUAAUUGAAAAUAAUUUCACUAGAGGUGUCAUAGACAAAACUCUCUUUUAGAAAUUGCAUGAUAAUGAUAAGAUAUUUGUUCAAAUAUAUGUUGAUGAUAUUAUAUUUGGUUCUACUAACGAUAACUUGUGCAAGAGAUUUGCUAAGUUAAUGCAGAGUAAUUAUGAGAUGAGUAUGAUGGGUGAGCUAUCCUACUUUCUUGGUCUUCAAGUAAGCCAAAAGGAAGAUGGAAUCUUUAUUUGCCAGUCAAAGUAUGUCAGAGAUCUUCUACGGAAGUACAAUCUAGAAGACUGUUCACCGGAAAAGACACCCAUGGCCACUGCCACUAAGCUUGACCAGGAUAAAUCUGGUAAGAAAGUUGAUAUCUCAAGCUAUCGAGGUAUGAUUGGCUCAUUACUCUAUCUCACUGCUAGUAGACCAGAUAUUAUGUUUGCAACAUGUUUGUGUGCUAGGUUUCAGGCUGAUCCUAAAGAAUCACAUCUUAUAGCCGUCAAAAGAAUAUUUAGAUAUCUUAAGGGUACACCUGGUUUAGGUAUUUGGUACCCUAAGAAUACUAGUUUUGACUUAUCCAGCUAUACAGAUUCUGAUUAUGCAGGUUGCAGGAUUGAUAGAAAGAGUACGUCCGGAAGCUGUCAAUUUCUAGGAUGUCGAUUGGUUUCCUGGUACAGCAAGAAGCAACACUCAGUGUCCACUUCUACUGCUGAAGCUGAGUACAUAGCUGCUGGCAGUUGUUGUGCUCAGAUUCUCUGGAUACGAAAUCAUAAAUGAUUAUGGUAUCUCUGUCGACAAAAUUCCAAUAUUUUGUGACAACACCAGUGCCAUAGCCAUUUCAAACAAUCCAGUGCAACACUCCAGAACCAAGCACAUAGAUAUCAGGUAUCAUUUUAUUCGAGAACAUGUCAUGAAUGGUACUAUGGUGUUACAUUUCGUACCCACGGCUGAUCAGAUUGCAGACAUCUUCACUAAACCACUUGAUGAAUCCACUUUCUCUAAGUUGGUUUGUGAGCUAGGGAUGUUAAAUAUGCAGUGAUUCUCUUUGUAUAUAUUUUAUCUGUAUUUUAUAUAUUAUUAUAUAUUUAUGUGAAUUCUCUGUGUAAUUAUAUCUAUUUUAUUAGAUUUUAUAUAAUUAUUUGUAAAUUAUCUGAUAAUUUUAUGUGUGAUUAUGCAUGUUUAUUUUCCUAUAAUUUUCUAAGUGCUGCAUAC